rnacentral:tRNA from 1 species
GUGGAUAUAGCCAAAUGGUAAGGCAAUAGUUUAACGCUAGUAUUGUUGGUUCGAAUCCAACUAUCUACUCCU